rnacentral:rRNA from 1 species
UACGGGGGGGGCAAGCGUUGUUCGGAAUUACUGGGCGUAAAGGGCUCGUAGGCGGCCAACUAAGUCAGACGUGAAAUCCCUCGGCUUACCCGAGGACCUGCAUCCCAAACUGCUUGGCUUGAGUAUGGGAGAGGAUGAGGGAAUUCCUGGUGUAGCGGUGAAAUGCGUAGAUAUCAGGAGGAACACCGGUGGCGAAAGCGCUCAUCUGGCCCAAUACUGACGCUGAGGCGCGAAAGCUAGGGGAGCAAACGGG